rnacentral:rRNA from 1 species
GUCUAUGGCCAUGUCACCCUGAAUGUGCCCCAUCUCUUCUGAUCUCAGAAGCUAAGCAGGGUCGGGCCUGGUUAGUACUUGGAUGGGAGACCAGUUAGGAAUACCAAGAACUGUAGGCA